CGCGUGAAAACAGUUGGCCCGGUCGCCACCCAGAGGCGAGGAUCUAAAUGCGGAAUGCCGACAGCGUAGACUACUGAGGACCACUCCAGAAAAGUGGUCCCACCCCUAAAAAGUCGCCCCCUGGCCGGGGACCAGCGACGCCAGGCACGGACGGGGUUCGAACCCGUGAUCUUCGGUUUACGAGACCGACGCCUUACCACUUGGCCACCGCGCCUGCGUUAGAAUGGCGGCUCAGCGAACCUCUAUCCUGGCGUCGCUCCCGCGAGAUCGCCCCGCGGGCACGAGCACGAACGCGAGCGCGCGCGCCCGGCCGCGGCCCUGCCCCCUCGCCCCAGCCAGCGGGGCGGGGCUCCCGCGGGCGCGCGCCGGCCGCUCCCCGCGCACUCCGGGCAGGCGGUUGGCCGGGCUUGGGGUCUCCCCUCCCUCGCGGGCGGCCGGGGCGGCGUUCCCGAGUCUCCUCCGCCUAGUCAGGAGGCGCGUCUGGAACUCGGGAGCGGGCGGGACGCUUGCCGGCCUCUGAGAUGCUCGGGUUCGAAUCCCAGCUCCGCCAGAGCUACUCCGCGACGCUGGACCUCCUGUCUCGGAGCCUCAGUUUCCCCUCUAGGCGUGUCCCGAGCAUCGCCUGGGAGCUGCUUGGAAAUGCAGCUUCUCCGGUCACCCAGGACCUGCCGAAUCAGACCUGCUGGCGGAGCCCAGCAAUCCGGGCGUGAACAGGUCCCCGGGGUGAUGCUGCUGCGCGGGAAAGGCUGGGCCCCGCUACUCCGAGCGAUUGAUAGGUGUAAGAAGCCCUGAGAUUCCACAGAUCUUGAACACCCUGAUGGAGGAUCCGUCUGUCCUGGCCUCGGCAUCUUAGAGUGGUGCCUGCACACGUAGGUCCUCAAAAAGUAUGGUAGAAGGAAUUAACAUGUGGGGUUCCUUUCUGGGGAACCUCCUUGACCGGUGCCCCCACUGCCAGGGCCUUCCUGGUGCUGAAUAGCCCUUCCCUGAUCAGGCAGAAACUUUCAACUUCUCAGUGAUAAGGAGUUGUCCAUUAUUCACCCUUCUGGAGAGAUCUUAAGUCCAAACAUUUCCUGUGCCGUUAUGGAGUCUCUGGGUCAGGUGGCCCCUGAUGGUAUUCCAGCCUCCCAAAUGCUAGGGCGAGAAACCAGGGUUGGCUGAAGCAGCUGGUGCUUCCAGGAGCCUGGGAAGGUGACGUUUUAGGUGAGAAAGUGUCAUAUUGACCUGGUGACAAAGCCAGGUGAUAUGAUAAAAUACUUUUGGUCUUUUUGUUUCCUCUGUAUGAUUAAGUUGCCUGGGUCUGGAUAAUUUAUAAGCAUCUGUAUUUCUUUUGUGUUGAAACUUAGUCACUUUUUUUCCCACUUUAGAAAAAAAUAUAUUCUUUUUAAGUCUUUUGUUUCUGCACCCCUGUCUCUGUGCCGGUCCCCAAAGCAGGAAUUCUUAACCUGGGGCCCAUGCACUGGAGACCCGGAAAUCUGUGCAUUCCCCAAGAGAGUGUGUAAAAUGUGUGUGUGUUUCUAGGAAAGGGAUGUCACAAUUUUUAUCAGGUUUUCAGAAGGGCCUCCUGAAGGUCUUAGAAGGCUGCGAGCCUUUUUACUUCCUUCCUCCGCUUCCUAUGCUUCGAGAUUCACCUAACGCCGCUGAGACGCAGCAGCUGUCUCAAGUCGUGUAACCACAGUUGAGCUUGCUUGCAAAAUUGAAGAUGUCUCCGGGACACGCCCCACCCCUUGCAAAGCUGCCUCAGCUGCAGCCAGCGCCUCCAUCCCGCGGCCCCUGCCGGGGGCCCUCCCCAGAGCAAGGACUGCAUCCUUUUAGCAGCAGUGCACAGGCUGUGAGGGCGUUCACCUGCCGCAUCCCAGUGGAGCCUUCCUUGUGGCCUGGCAGCGCCUCUCCCUUGAACCUGCACAUCCCAGGAAGAUGCAGACUGACUCAGGACGUCUGCGGUGGGGCCUCUUGAACCCCCUCCCAGGUCAUGCAGAUGCUGCUUGUCCAGACUCUCGCUUUGAGAACCAUUGUUGUAAAGUCUUCUUGGAGAAAUUCAUUUGCACGAGGAAGAAGGAAAAAAAAAAACCCCUCAGCCUUGGAUAUUUAGGUCACCUGAGUGAGGAAGAUUGACCCUGAGCUAACAUCUGUGCCACUCUUCCUCCACUUUGUAUAUGGGACGCCAUCACAGCAUGGCUUGAUGAGCAGUGUGUCGGUCUGCACCUGGGCUCUGAACUCAUGAACUCUGGGCUGACACAGUCUUGAUUAUUGUAUUUUAUGUGGAAGAGGACCUGGAAUGUUUGUGGUGACUGUGUUCACCUCCUUUUGGUGCUCCAUCCAGGCACAAAUCCCCGCUAUGUGCAGGAAUUGUGUGGCGCUCCCAGGCUGCCCCACGAUGAGGAGCAAAGCAGGUUGUGCUGCCUGUGUGACCACCAGGACAAGAUUCAGAGGAAGCCAAGUCUCCCAGCUUGGAAAGAGAGGUGAUUAUUGCUUCAACACCCUUAACAAAGAAUGCCAACCAGAUGCAAAAUGUUGUAAAGAUGAAAAGUAAAAUUUUCUGCA